rnacentral:rRNA from 1 species
GCUUUUAUUUAAGAGAACUCUAAUCUUGGAAGCUAAGCAGGGUUGGUCCUGAUUAGUAACUUGGAUGGGAGGCCGCCUGGGAAUACUGGGUGCUGAAGGCU